CCGUCUGAACAGAGCCUUUACCGAAUGAUUUUUCACCCAAAAUGAUUGCUCUGUGAUGAUCUUGCAAAGCACCUGCCACAAUUUCCGAGGCUGACGCCGAUCCUUCAUUGAUAAUCACCACAAUCGGCAAACCGUUUGUAAUAUCGCCCGAAUGUGCCGUAUAUUUGACAUUGUCUUCAAUGUUACGCGCACGGGUCGACACGAUUUCCCCUUCGCUUAAAAACAAAUCCGACACCGCAACAGCCUGAUCAAGCAAACCACCCGGAUUGUUU
rnacentral:ncRNA from 1 species